rnacentral:rRNA from 1 species
AAUGAACGCUGGCGGCGUGCUUAACACAUGCAAGUCGAACGAGACUUGCUCUUCGGAGUAAGUAAAGUGGCGAACGGGUGCGUAACACGUGAGUAUCUACCUCUUUGUGGAGAAUACCUUGGGGAAACCCAAGUUAAUUCUGCAUAAGUUCGAGAGAAGAAAGGCGGCCUCUUGCUGCCGCAAAGAGAUGAGCUCGCGGCCUAUUAGCUUGUUGGUGGGGUAAAGGCCUACCAAGGCAAUGAUGGGUAUCUGAUCUGAGAGGAUGGUCGGACACAUUGGGACUGAGAUACGGCCCAG